rnacentral:lncRNA from 1 species
ACUACAAGCGUCCCCCAGCAAAGCUGCACCGCCAUUUCCUGUGCUUGGGAACUGAAGGCAAGCCUACACCCAGGAAUGCACAAGGACAGCUUGGAGCUUAGAAGCAAGUGGAGUUGGUUCAUCUCUUUCACUGGCUCAUAAUUUUGCAACGGCGGUUUCAUCUCUACCCUGACAAUACCUUUUAGUUUUCUUACCCACUGGGGUCGAGACUUAAUUGAAGACCUCAGACGGACAGCAUAACACGGAACCUGAGACCUUGAUUUGCGGGGACAGGCUUAAAGUGUAUUCUGGAGUUGGUGCCCCCACCCCAGGGGCCGGCUCAGAGGGUUCACUUUCCAGCCUAACGGCAGGGGAACCAGAGGCUGCCGACCUGGAUCUCACCUUGAUGGAGGUCUUGUCACCUUCCUCCUUGGCUGGAGAGACAGACUGUGGAUGCUCUCCUGCUGGCCACCCAAAAACAACAAACAGACAAACAAAUAUGAAUGAGGAAAACUUGAAGAGGCCCCACGUGCCAGAGGUGGGACAGCUUGAGAUUUGGUGAGGAUAAUUGCAGUGGCUCAAAACCCAUAAAGAAGUUUAAGUCCAUGAGUUCACCGUAAUCUGAAACAAAAACAAAAACAAAAACAAAUUGAUCAUCUUUGGAGGCUAACAAUCAAUUCAUUAUCUAGAGACAGACAGAGGCUCACUAGUGGCACGAUCUUGGCUGAUUGCAUCUUCCACCUCCUGGGUUCAAGAGAUUCUUGUGCCUUAGCUUCCUGAGUAGCUAAGAUUACAGAUCACAAGCAAUCAGGCUGAUCCCGCCUGAGCCCUGAGCUCCCUGGGACCCAGCAGCAGCUGUGCAUUGGCACGUGGUGCCCUGUGUCUGAUCAGCUGACUCCUCAGGCAAAACCUGCACCAUUUUCACCAGAAUUGCAGAUGUCCUCAGUGUCAUUACAAAGUUCCUAAGUCAUGACCAUUCUGUCCUGUGGAACCAGGCUGGACUAAGCUCCCAUUUCUUUAAGCCAUCCUGUCCCCUGCAGGGACUUCCAAGGUGGAGCUGAUGAGCAAUAGUUAUGAGUCAUUGGAGGAGACAUCCCAGAGGCGCCAGCUCCCCUCUGCCCUAAACUGAAAUUAAGACCUGGUGCUCUGGGUGGGGCCCCUGGAAGGGGAUGUGCAACUCAGAGGGGACCUUCUCCACCUCCACCCAGGAGACCCCAGAGGGACCAUGGCAGAGCCGGAGCCCUCUUUUUUUUUGUUCGUUUUUUAUUUUAUUAUUAUUAUACUUUAAGUUUUAGCCCUCUUUUAAAAACCAAAUGAAAAUAAGCAAAAGAAGCCAAUCGUCUCUGUGAAAUGUCCAGAAGAGGGAACUCUGUAGAGACAGAGAGGAUAUUAUUGGCUGCCGGAGGCUGGGAAUGGGAAGGUGAGGGGCCUGGGGAGGUGAUGGUUAAAAGAUUCUUCUUUGUGGUGAUGAAAUUGUCUUAAAAUGGACUGUGGUGAUAGUUGUGCAACUUGGUGAAUAUAUAAGUUAUUGAAUUGUACACUUUAAAUGGGUGAAUUGUAUGGUGUGUGAAACAUAUCUCAAUAAAGCUGUUAUUUGAAAAAUAAAUAAGUAAAUAAGUGAAGUCCCUGGGCUGGAGCCGGGGGGAUGCGGUUGUUCACUCUAGCUGCACUUGCUGUAGGCCCUGGGCAAGACCUUUCUGCACCCUGGCCCUCAGUUUCUCCAAUCUGGAACACGUGGGGUCGGCCAAGGUCUCCACAGGCCUUCUCCAGCAGUGUGUGACAGUGUGGAGUGCCUGCAGAGAAGGCACCUGGGUCUCUCUGAGGAGCAGAGAAGGGGACUGGGGCUGCAGGAAUGUGGCUUCACUGUGGGCUUGGGUAUCUGUGAGGUCCUGUCUGGGAGAAGCCUUCUCCUUCCCGCCACUCUCCACCUGGCUGGGACUCUUCCUUCAUGGCUCAUAUGGAAAUGACAGCCACAGAACGCUGCGUGCUCACCUGAUGUUCACCUGAGUCGAGGCUCCUGAGUGUGGGAUUGGCCCAGCACCUGGCAGAGAGUUAGAGUCAGACGACAGCAGAUGCCAACAGAAAACAAAAGCGAACCCUGGAAACGGUUUGGAGCCGUCUAGGAGCCAGCCUUGGGAAUGCAGAAAAAGGGAGGGCUCAGCCGUGCCCUCCCAGAGCUGCAGGUGAACAAGGAGUCAGUGCGGUGGGACUCGGCCACUGCAGCGCGGGCAGGUGCUCCAGUGAGGCGAGGCAGGGCUGGGGGAUUUUACAAACCCAUUAUUUCAAAAUAAUUUCAGGCACACAGAAAGGGUGCAGACAUAGUACAAAUAUUUCCCUUCUCUCCUUAACCCAGAUUACCCAAAUGUUCACAUUCAAUCACAUUUAUAUCUGUUAUUUUCAUUCUUUCAUUAUUUUUUCACUAGUUUUAGAUCCAAUGAUGAGUCUUGCCUGAAAACAUUAUUACUAUGAUACUUGCCAAAUGGUUUUUCCAACACCAUCUUUUCUCCUACAGUUAUCAGUUGGCAUUCUAUGUAAAUAAGACUUUCCUCUCUCCCUUUUUUUUGAGAUGGAGUUUUGCUCUUGUUGCCCAGGCUGGAAUGCAAUGGUGUGAUCUCGGUUCACUGCAACCUCCACCUCCUGGUUUCAAGCAAUUCUCCUGCCUCAGCCUCCUGAGUAACUGGGAUUAUAGGCAUGCGCCACCACGCCUGGCUAAUUUUGUAUUUUUAGUAGAGACGGGGUUUCUCCAUGUUGAUCAGGCUGGUCUCGAACUCCCGACCUCAGGUGAUCCAACCGCCUCGGCCUUCCAAAGUGCUGGGAUUACAGGCGUGAACCACUGCACCCGGCUAACCCUUCUUAUGUGUGUGUGUAUGUGUGUACGUAAGUGUGGACUCGUGGACUAUUAUUUAUGGAUUAUAAUUUAUUUACUAUCAUUCUUUAGUUUGUUGUUCAAAUUGUCCCUGAUGUGGGAGAGUUUGCAGACGGGAGUGUCACAGUUAGAUUUAGGUUUUGAGAGAAUCCUGUAAACCACAGUGAGUGCCACUACUCACAUACCAGAGUCGUUGAAAUUGGAAACGUCAGCCAUGCUGAGCGUCGAGGAAGCUGCGGAGCUGUGGCAAUGCUCGUACACCGCUGGUGGAAAUGGACAAUCCUGGGGCAGGCAAUCCCGAGAACAGUUUAGCAGUUUCUUAUAAAGUUAAACAUACACUCAUCAUGUGACCCAGGGAUUCUACUCCUACAUAUUCACCUAAGAGCAUUUAAAAUAACACAUCUUCACAAAACCUUCCACGCCGAUGCUCAGAGGGGCUUUAUUCAUUAGAGCCCCAGACAGAAAACAACCCCGAUGUCUAUAAACUGCAGAAUGGGUCCAAAAGACGGUCGUAUUUCCAUUCAGUGAAACAGCCUCAACUCAGAAGAGGAAUUAAGUACAGACACACACAGCAUGGGAGAAUCUCAGAAACAUGACCCUAGCUGAAAGGAGCAGAGAAUAAACUGUGUGGUUCUAUUUAUACAAAAUCCUAUAACUUGCAAAACUCUAAGAACAGAAAGCAGAUCAGUGGGUGUUCGGAACUGGGGCUGGGAGGGUAAGGAGGAGUUUGAUUAAAAAGCAGCAGGUCAGAAGUUUUGAGGUGAUGAAAAUGCUCUAAUCACGACUGUGGGGUGGCCACACACAGCGCACAAUGCAAAGCACGUGGAGCUUUACUUCUGAACUGGUCAGUUUUACUCCGUGUGUAAUUAGACCUUCAUAACCUGACUCUGAGAAAGCAAAAACCAUUUCUCAGGUUCUUGUGGGGAUCGCAGACCACAGGGCAGAGUGGAAGCAGGUUGACAGCGUGGGGUCAGAGUUGGGAUUUAUUUCCGUGGAGAGUUGACCAGACUUGUUGAGUGGUUGGAUGCGGGGUGGGAAAAGAAGGGUAAAGGGGGCCCCUGGGGUCUGGAUCUGGCUCAGGGUAGGUGGUGGUCCCACUAGUGGAGAAGGAGGUGGGUUGUUUAUUGCCACAUCCAGGGGGGCACUGGGGACGUCACCCCACCUGUCUCCCUGCACCUGGACCACACCUGGAGGUGGCAGGCAGUGUCCUAAGCUGAUCGCCAGGGAAGUCUUCAAGGCCCCCUGCCCCAGGGGUAGCACCAAGCCUUCUGCCGUCGGGGCUGGGGCAGGCCUAGGGGUCUCCUUUGGGCGUGGAGCCUUGAAUGGGCACCUGGAGAAAGAUGUUGGGGUCCCUCCUUCCCAGGGGCUCCCUUGGAGCUGGGAGGUCCUGCAUUUUGGCCUCUAAGGAGAGAGGGAAAGACACCCAGGACAGAGCCCGGUUGUAGGGAUGCAGGGCAAGGAUGUUCCUGGGACUGGCCUGGGCUUCCCAGCCAGCCAGGUCUGAGUUCAAAUCCCAGCCAUGCUGCAUACCUACAACUACCUGAUCUUCGACAGAGCUGACAAAAACAAACAAUGGGAGACAUUGCUUGUUUUUAUGUUUGUUGGCUGACAUACAUACAUACAUACAUGUCUUAAGACAUACAUGCAGUCAACAAGCAUAUGAAAAAGAGUUCAAUAUCAUUGAUCAUUAAAGAAAUGCCAGUCAGCUGGGCGCAGUGGCUUAUGCCUAUAAUCCCAGCACUUUGGGAGGCCGAGGUGGGAGGAUCACCUGAGGUCGGGAGUUCGAGACCAGCCUGACCAACAUGGAGAAACCCCGUCUCCACUAAAAAUACAAAAGUAGCCCAGCGUGGUGGUGCAUGCCUGUAAUCCCAGCUACUCAGGAGGCUGAGGCAGGAGAAUCGCUUGAACCUGGGAGGCAGAGGUUGUGGUGAGCUGAGAUCAUGCCAUUGCACUCCAGCCUGGGCAACAGGAGAAAAAGUCUGUCUAAGAAAAAGAAAGAGAGAGAAAGAAAGAAAGAGAAAGAAGGGAGGGAGGGAAGGAGGGAGGGAGGGAAGGAAGGAAGGAAGGAAGGAAGGAAAAAUGUCAGUCAAAACCAUGAUGAGAUAUCAUUUCACACCAGUCAGAAUGGCUCUUAUUAAAAAAUCAGAAAAUGGGCUGGGCGCAGUGGCUCACUCCUGUAAUCCCAGCACUGAGGCGGGCAGAUCACUGGAGGUCAGGAGUUUGAGACUAGCCAGGCCAAUGUGGCAAAACCGUGUCUCUGCUAAAAAUACAAAAAUUAGCUGGGUGUGGUGGUGUGCAUGUGUAAUCCCAGCUACUCAAGAGGCUGAGGCAGGAGAAUCGCUCGAACCCGGGAGGCGGAGGUUGCAGUGAGCUGAGAUCGGCCACUGCACUCUAGUCUGGGCGACAGAGCAAGAUUCUGUCUCAAAAAAAAAAAAAAAAAAAGUCAGAAAAUAACAGAUGCUAGCAAGGUUGUGGAGAAAAAGGAACACUUAUACACUAUCUGUGGGAGUGUAAAUUAGUUUAACCAUUGUGGAAGACAGUGUGGUGAUUCCUCAAAGACCUAAAGACGGAAAUACUAUUGAACCCAGCAAUCCCGUUACUCGUUAUCUACCCGAAGGAAUAGAAAUUGUUGUACCAUAAAGACACAUGCAUGUGUGUAUGUUCAUUGCAGCACUAUUCACAAUAGCAAAGACAUGGAAUCAACCUAAAUGCCCAUCAGUGACAGACUGGAUAAAGAAAAUGUGGUACAUAUACACCAUGGAAUACUAUGCAGCCAUAAAAAAUAAUGAGACCGUGUCCUUUGCAGGAACAUGGGUGGAGCUGGAAGACAUUAUCCUUAGCAAACUAAUGCAGGAACAGAAAACCAAAUACUGCAUGUUCUCACUUAUAAGGGGAACCUGAAUGAUGAGAACACAUGGACGCAUAGAGAGGAAGACACACACACUGGGGCCCAUCAAAGGGUAGAGGGUGGGAGGAAGGAGAGGAUCAAGAAAAAUAAUGAGGGGGUACUAGGCUUAAUACCUGGAUGAUGAAAUAAUCUACAACAGUCCCCCAUGACACAAGUUUACCUAUGCAAUAAACCUGCACGUGUACCCCUGAACUUCAAAUAAAAGUGACAUUAAAAAAAAGUCCUGGGCCGGGCGCGAUGGCGCACGCCUGUAAUCCCAGCACUUUGGGAGGCCGAGGUGGGCGGAUCACGAGGUCAGGAGUUCGAGACCAUCCUGGCUAACACAGUGAAACCUGGUCUCUACUAAAAAUACAAAAAAUUAGUCAGGCAUGGUGGCGGGCAGCUCCCUGUAGUCCCAGCUACUCGGGAGGCUGAGGCAGGAGAAUCGCUUGAA